rnacentral:rRNA from 1 species
UUNUGAACUGGGUGACUAGAGUGUNUCAGAGGGAGGUAGAAUUCCACGUGUAGCAGUGAAAUGCGUAGGGAUGUGGAGGAAUACCGAUGGCGAAGGCAGCCUCCUGGGAUAACACUGACGUUCAUGCCCGAAAGCGUGGGUAGCAAACAGGAUUAGAUACCCUGGUAGUNCACGCCCUAAACGAUGUCGAUUAGCUGUUGGGCAGCAUGACUGCUUAGUAGCGAAGCUAACGCGUGAAAUCGACCGCCUGGGGAGUACGGUCGCAAGAUUAAAACUCAAAGGAAUUGACGGGGACCCGCACAAGCGGUGGAUGAUGUGGAUUAAUUCGAUGCAACGCGAAGAACCUUACCUGGUCUUGACAUGUACGGAACCCUCCAGAGACGGAGGGGUGCCUUCGGGAGCCGUAACACAGGUGCUGCAUGGCUGUCGUCAGCUCGUGUCGUGAGAUGUUGGGUUAAGUCCCGCAACGAGCGCAACCCUUGUCAUUAGUUGCCAUCAUUAAGUUGGGCACUCUAAUGAGACUGCCGGUGACAAGCCGGAGGAAGGUGGGGAUGACGUCAAGUCCUCAUGGCCCUUAUGACCAGGGCUUCACGCGUCAUACAAUGGUCGGUACAGAGGGUAGCCAAGCCGCGAGGUGGAGCCAAUCUCACAAAACCGAUCGUAGUCCGGAUUGCACUCUGCAACUCGAGUGCAUGAAGUCGGAAUCGCUAGUAAUCGCAGGUCAGCAUACUGCGGUGAAUACGUUCCCGGGUCUUGUACACACCGCCCGUCACACCAUGGGAGUGGGGGAUACCAGAAGUAGGUAGGGUAACCGCAAGGAGCCCGCUU